GAGUUGAUGUGCAAAGGAUGUGGGGUCUUGAGAAAUGAGAGAAGAGGCUGUGUAGCGUGGCAGACCCAGGAGGCUUCUCCAAGACCUGAGCUGCUUUUAAGAACAAGACUGAGGUUGAGAACUUGUCUUCAGAUGCUGAAGAUCUUGGUUGGAGAUGUAGAAGCUCUGUCAAACCUGGCUGCAGCAACAGGAAUGGUGGCAGCUUCUGAAGAUCUGUAGAUGGUGGACAAAGCCUACUGCAGCCAGUCCAAGUGCCUGUGAUGCUGCUUGAUGUUUCCUUCAACCUCUGUACCCUCAUGUCUCUUUCAAAACCUUUUUAUGUGUCCCUGUCAGAGACAUGAGCUGUCCCCUCACCCUUCUCCCAGUCACCUCAGCUCAGACACUUUACACAGCCAUAUUCUAAAGGGUUGCUGUAAAGAAAACUGGUACUGAAAGAUGGUUAAGAAAGUUUAAAACCCCAACCUAAA